CGAAGCCAGGAGUUUGAGGCGCACACUGGGACCCUAGGUCAGGCCCCCAGCGAAGGAGGGGAAGCCACCCCAGCCUGAGCCAGGGCCGGGAGGAGAGGCCCCUGGGGGUGUGAGGAGCAGCGUGGGGGAGGUCCACGCCUGAUGUGGUGGUGCGGCUGGGAAAGAGGGCCUGGCUCGCUGCGGGAAACCUGCAGAGGGAGGGUGCAGGGGGGACGCACUGGGGGUGGGGGCUGGGCCCUGGAUCCCAGUGUGACUAAGAGGUGACCCCAGCCUGAGGACGAGGCCCCUGGGCCUGAACACACCUCCGUUCUCCUGUCAGCAAGAUGAGUCCGGGUGUCCCUGCACUCCCUCCCCACAGGGCACCCCACCUGUCCCUGUGCAGACAGCCCUGAGAGGGUGUCCGGAUGCCACCGUCACCCAGGGCAGGGCAGUGUCUCUGCAGAAUCUGCAUCGUGCAGAGGCAUCUAAGCAAUUUCUCAAGUCCCUGGCUGUGGCGGCUGCCCUGGGCAUGGCUGGCUGGCAUGUUACAUGGGGGUGCGUGGGGAGGCCUCCGAAAGGCGCCUCCACUGACAGGAAGAAGCCACCCGCAGAAAGAAGCCGAGGAGCUGUGUCCCAUUUCCGUGUGACUGCUGCUAUUUGUCCUCCUCACACAGCCAAGGAUAAGAAAGGUUGGCCGAGGCACUGCACAGGCCCCGCUUCUCCUCGGGUGCCCGGAAUGUGCCCUCCCGAGAACCUCGCAUGUAAGUGGGGGUCCAGGGUCUCAAUCUCCCAGCUGCCCCCUGACUGACGAGACCUCGGAGGCUGGAGAUGCGGCCACUGCACAGGCCUGGGACCCCCACUUGCUCGCCUCCCACGCAUCCAUAUGGAUGGUGUCUGGGGGUCAGAGGAAAGUUGGGGUUCCAAAGGGCAGGAGAGCCACCGCAAGUCCAGCCAGAGCCCCCAUGAACUUCCACCUGCUCAGAAAUGAACCACUCUGCCACUUUUCAAAAAGUUUCCCAUCUUGAUAGAAAAGUACCACCCUCCUCCUCUAAGGGGACCCCACGGGGGGCAGAGCUGGCACCAUGCCCUGGGCCCUGUCCAGCACCCUGCAGCUGAGAACACCCCAGUGCCCAGCCACGCUCUCUCAGGGAGACCACCAGCCGCUCCCCUGCAAGCCCCCCGUCUCUGACCACGUGUGCCCCCGCUGGGCACACCCAGCUCAGGCAGCCGCGCUACCCUGACCAGGGGCCACAAGAGCCGCCAAAGGGCAGAGUACCAAGCAGAGGCAGCCUGGCCACGUCCCGGCGCCAGGACCCGGCGCCCCCCAGCAUCUCCGCGGCGGAUGCUGCAAGUUCAAGUGCCAGCAUUUACAGUAUUCCAGAAGCUUCUGUGUGGACUCUCUGUUGACCUUCAGAUCCUCCCUGAGAGGCGGGUGUCCUGUCCCCCUGCUUUUCCGAGGAGAAUCGGGGCUCAGAGGCCCAUGGGAGAAGGACCCUCCCACUGCAUGGCAUGGAAAAUGGCUCGACCUUGACCUCGCUGGAGUGGGGAACCUAGGGGCAGCGCUGAAGGGCUUCCCUGCUCACAACCUGUUGCAAAUCCCAGAGGGGGAUCCCCAGGGGAUUGGCCUAGGGGAGCAGCUUCCAGUGAGGGGGCUCUGGAAUUCAGGUAAGUGGAGGCACUUGGGGUUUCUGGGUCACAGGGCCCCUCACCGGGAGCUGGGGCAGGGCGGAGCAGCCCCUGGAGGGCAGCAAUUUCCUGGAAGCAGGACAGUAAUGGAGCCCAGAGAGUGCCCCCAGGGAGCAGUGGCUUCUAGCUGAGAG